UACGGAGGGAGCUAGCGUUGUUCGGAAUUACUGGGCGUAAAGCGCACGUAGGCGGCCGUUCAAGUCAGAGGUGAAAGCCCGGGGCUCAACCCCGGAAUAGCCUUUGAAACUAGAUGGCUUGAAUCUUGGAGAGGUCAGUGGAAUUCCGAGUGUAGAGGUGAAAUUCGUAGAGAUUCGGUAGAACACCAGUGGCGAAGGCGACUGACUGGACAAGUAUUGACGUUGAGGUGCGAAAGCGUGGGGAGCAAACAGG
rnacentral:rRNA from 1 species